AUGUGACGUGAUGGGUGCAGCAAAGUGGGAACCGUAUACACACAGUCUGGUACAGGUUUCCAGACUUGGAUCCUGGUGUGUCAAGACAACUUCCCUUGCAAGCAGCCCCUGAGACAGACCUGCAGCAGCAGAUGGCCUAACGGACUGUGCUCUCUGGUGAACUCCUGAAAGAAGAAGCGGGGUACACCUGGCUAUGGUCAUCUGCCGAAUGGGUACAAGGAUCUGUGUCUUCUCUGCCUCCGACCAGGAGUAUUUUGAUAAGUGACAUGGCCACGGUGAUGGUGCGUAAUUUAUUGCCUGCAUGUCAUAGUUCUAGGCUGCACCGGGGGCUUCAUGCACAGUGGCUGAAGAUACAGUUAUUCCUGUCUCAGAGAAGUUGACAGAGACUCAGAAAGCACCUGAGGUUCUCAGCUACCAAGCAGUAAUGAUGGACUUCCCGACAGCUCAUGCUCAGUCUGGUGGUACCCUGGUGUGGGGAGCUUGUGUUCAGAAACUGAGCCCUGCAGGCAUAAAGGGUGGGAGCAAACACACCAGCCAAUGGAUGCUGCUCCCAGUCUCCAGGGAGCCCGGGGACCUCCUCUUCAUUCCGGGGAAACUGAGGCACAGAGCAGAAACCAAGAAAAGCAGCCGUCCCAUGGGCUCUCAGGGGACAAGGCUCUCAAGGCCUUAUCCCGGGCCUCCGGUAUUUCCGGAGGCUGCAGAGUGACUAGGCACAGCCCUGGAUGCAGCCGGGAGAGGCAUUUAUCAGGCGAGUCUCUUCACGCUCACCCAGGGUAGGAAUGUAGGUAGAUUCAGGCUGGCGUGCCUCAGGCUGGCUGGCUGGGCCUCAGACCUGAAGGCAGUAUCCUGUUUUUUCCUCCGGCUACCAACUUGUUCAAUUAAGACUAAAAGAAGUCGCUGGGGCUGCCCAGCUAAAGUCAAGAAGAGCCCACAAGGAAACCACACCCAGCCCGGUGCGCUUCUGCUGGCCCGGAGACAGCCACAAAUGAAAAGAACUAGGAGGAGUCAGCAAGUGGACCCCCCGAGGGCCAAAUCCAGCUCAGGGCCCACUUUUUAAAUAAAGCUUUAUUGGAACCCA